CGGCAAGUCCCACACGACCAGCUCCUGUCCAAUCCCCCCAGGGUGGGAACGCAGCAAGGGUCCGACGGUUGUAGCGGUGCGAUGUGGGUAGCUUGCCUUUU
rnacentral:SRP_RNA from 1 species